rnacentral:rRNA from 1 species
UACGAAGGGGGCUAGCGUUGUUCGGAUUUACUGGGCGUAAAGCGCGUGUAGGCGGGUCGUUAAGUUGGGGGUGAAAUCCCGGAGCUCAACUCCGGAACUGCCUCCAAAACUGGCGACCUGGAGCAAGAUAGAGGCGAGUGGAAUUCCGAGUGUAGAGGUGAAAUUCGUAGAUAUUCGGAGGAACACCAGUGGCGAAGGCGACUCGCUGGAUCUUUGCUGACGCUGAGACGCGAAAGCGUGGGGAGCAAACAGG